rnacentral:rRNA from 1 species
UUGCAGUUAAAAAGCUCGUAGUUGGAUUUCGGGAUGGGCCAGUCGGUCCGCCUAACGGUGUGUUUACUGGCUGGUCUGUUCUUCUUCGCAAAGACUGCGUGUGCACUUUACUGUGUGUGCGUAGGAUUUACGACGUUUACUUUGAAAAAAUUAGAGUGUUCAAAGCAGGCAUACCGCUUGAAUACAUGAGCAUGGAAUAAUGGAAUAGGACUUUGGUCUUAUUUUGUUGGUUUCUGAGACCGAAGUAAUGAUUAAGAGGGACAGUUGGGGGCAUUCGUAUUUCGUUGUCAGAGGUGAAAUUCUUGGAUUUACGAAAGACGAACAAUUGCGAAAGCAUUUGCCAAGAAUGUUUUCAUUAAUCAAGAACGAAAGUUAGAGGAUCGAAGACGAUCAGAUACCGUCCUAGUUCUAACCAUAAACGAUGUCGACUAGGGAUCAGCGAACGUCUAAUGCGACUUCGUUGGCACCUUAC